GAGAUCCUGACAGAAACAGAUACAUCGGGGGUUAAUGAUGAUGCUGUUAAAGUGAGCUCCAGCCAGAAGCCUUCAGGGAUUUGGGGUUCGUUUCAGGAAAAAAAUAAAUCGAUCAGUGAGAACCCAGUGACUCCGAAAUGUUCAACGUUAGCCAGCUCUGAUUGAGGAAAAUACGAGUGGAAUCUCUUCCAUAAAACACAUUCUUUGGUGCCAUGAUGAGGAGAUCAUCACACACACUCUUCACUCUUCUGCCAUCCGGAAAGAGGUACCGAAGCAUUUGGACCCGCAUAACCAGACUGUUGUUUCUUCCCUCAGGCAAUCAGCUCAGUCUUCAGAAACGGAGCAUGGAGACUCACCUUGGAGGUAGAAAAGAAGAGAUUCUUCAGGCUGCCAUUCCUCCUUUCAGCACGAGCCUGUGAGAUUCUCACCCCUACGGUAAAUGCUGACCACAUCGCU